rnacentral:rRNA from 1 species
GGAGUUAGCCGGUGCUUCUUCUGUGAGUGAUGUCCUUCCUGCCGGCUAUUAACCCGCAGGCCUUCUUCCUCACUGAAAGUGCUUUACAACCCGAAGGCCUUCUUCACACACGCGGCAUGGCUGGAUCAGGGUUGCCCCCAUUGUCCAAUAUUCCCACUGCUGCCUCCCGUAGGAGUCUGGGCCGUGUCUCAGUCCCAGUGUGGCUGAUCAUCCUCUCAGACCAGCUACGGAUCGUCGCCUUGGUGAGCCGUUACCUCACCAACCAGCUAAUCCGACAUAGGCUCAUCCGAUAGCGCGAGGCCCGAAGGUCCCCCGCUUUCCCCCGUAGGGCGUAUGCGGUAUUAGCCUGGGUUUCCCCAGGUUAUCCCCCACUACCGGGCAGAUUCCUAUGCAUUACUCACCCGUCCGCCGCUCGCCACCAGGGAGCAAGCUCCCCGUGCUGCCGCUCGACUUGCAUGUGUUAGGCCUGCCGCCAGCGUUCAAUCUGAGCCAUGAUCAAACGUCUGA